AUUUAUUGAUCCAUGUCGCAGUAAAUAAUAUGUUUGUUAGCGGUGUAUGAAUUAUUUUUGUGUUAAGGUUGUCAUGUCAUUGAAAGAAAACGAAGCUAGCACUAUUAGCUCCGGCGAUAAUGAAUAUGAUGAAAAUAAAACAGAAAUGUUGUAUCACACCUUAAAACAAAAUGUUCAGCAAAUAGCCGUUCAGAUGAAAAACUACAGUGAAAUUUUACAAGACCUUGCAAAAGAUAUGGAUAAUGUAAGCAAAAGUAUGGCUGCAGUUCAAGAACAUUCUCUGAACACUAGAAAUGACAAAUGAAGAAACAAUAUAAGAUAACAUCAGACAUUUUGUCUAUAUCUGGAUGAAAAGUUUUGCAAGUCUUCAGGCCCUGAUGUCAUACAGAACAGAGUAACAGUUUUAUUCAUUGUAUGUGUUAUGUAUUAUUAUAUCAGAAUGUUUAAACAUUCCAGUACAGAUAUAUUAUUGUUCACAUAACUUUUUUAUAAUAAAAUUGCAAAAGUGUCA